GAUGAACGCUGGCGGCGUGCCUAAUACAUGCAAGUCGAGCGAACAGACGAGGAGCUUGCUCCUCUGACGUUAGCGUCGGACGGGUGAGUAACACGUGGAUAACCUACCUAUAAGACUGGGAUAACUUCGGGAAACCGGAGCUAAUACCGGGUAAUAUAUUUAACCGCAUGGUUCAAUAGUGAAAGACGGUUUUGCUGUCACUUAUAGAUGGAUCCGCGCCGCAUUAUCUGGUUGGUAAGGUAACGGCUUACCAAGGCGACGAUGCAUAGCCGACCUGCGAGGGUGAUCGGCCACACUGGAACUGAGCCCCGCCCCAGACCCCUACGGGAGGCAGCAGUAGGGAAUCUUCCGAAAUGGGCGAAAGCCUGCCGGAGCAACGCCGCGUGAGUGAUGCAGGUCUUCGGAUCGUAAAACUCUGUUAUCAGGGAAGAACAAAUGUGUAAGUAACUAUGCACGUCUUGACGGUACCUAAUCAGAAAGCCACGGCUAACUACGUG
rnacentral:rRNA from 1 species